CUGUCACAGGAACAACAGCAGCGAAUCCUGUGGUUGAAACCACAGCACUUCCCUCACAGCGGGGCGGCGGGGGCGGGGGAUCAUUGUGGGCUUGGAGCGUUGUUAGGUUUGAGCCUACCCAGAUUAUUUUAUUCAUGAUGAAAUAUAAGGCGGAGAAUCGCUGUGUGAGAGGACAGAAGCUGAUCCGCCCCUGCCCCUCCCUGCCAGCCUGUGCUACCCGCUUUGGCUGGAAGGAUCAAAAGGAGGUUAUACCAAAGUGGUUCUGAGCCAGUGAAAAACAAAUUCAAGCUGCUAACAACAUAAUGAAGAUGAUGGGCUUCGUUGGGAAGAAAAUCAUGUUUGAUUUACUGCCGGAGCUGUCGUGACUACCAUUUCUGAGCACCUGCUGUCACCAAGGAUAGCACUAGAGUAUCUUCUUUUUACCAUUGUCAAAGAACUUGCUACACUUUCCAUACACCUGGCAUCGCUGCAUGAGGCCAUCCUUGACCAGUAUGUGGAGCUGACAAGGUGCGUUCCAGACUUUUUCCUGCUGAAGAAGAGGCUGAGCAUGAGCAGAGACCAAAAAAACGGUGGCCAACAGUGACAGCACAGAAAAGGCCAGCGCUGCUCAACCCCGGGCUCCCCCUUCUGUUUCUUCUCCUGUCAACUUGGAAGACCCACCCCACCCACUCCUCAUAUAAUUGAUAGGGCACUGUCAGGCAGGUGGUGUAAGUGGUUUAUUUUAGAGAAGGUUAUUACUGGCCACAAAACUUCAAGUCAGCUAUUUUCAAGGACCCUUAGGAAGGAAGUGCCUGUUUAGGGUGUCCACCCUCGAAAGCCCAGGACAGAGGUCUUACUGUACUUCUGCACCCAACCACAUUUAAUCCAUUCAUAAGGCUCCUUUGUGAGAUGCCACAUCAGAGUAAACCAAUGUUGGAUAUUGCAAACAGCUUUGAAGAAUGUCUUUCCCUUAGAACUGCACAGUUCUGAGAGCAGAAUGGUGUCCCCACACAUUGUUAUGACUUGACAUCUCCAGUGUGAAAAGUUUCCAUCAAGCUAUGAUAAGAAAAGGCUGGGCUUUUUACUCUCGUGGAAACCACAGCAGAAGAAAGCCAUUAUGCUACCUCUUCACUUAGCCUCUUCCUGUAAAUACAAGUGCAUUAGAGAGAAACAGGUCCAAGUUUGGGGAAGUGAGUUGGUAACUCUUAAAAAUCAGGCAGUGAAAAACUGAAAGUUCAGUUUUACAAUGAGUGGUAAUGUGGACAACAGAAAGGGAACAUAUGUCUCACAGAGAGGAAGAUACUCUGUGACCCAGUGGUGAAUUUUAGAUUUUGAAUUUUUGGGAAUGAAAACAAAGAUUUAACUUUAAGAACUGACAUGCCAACUGUUUUGCUUUUUGUUUUGUAAUUAGGACACUGAGGAAAAAAAGACUAUCAUUUUAAACUUCAUCAUCAUCUUAUAACACAAAGGACAGUAUGACAUUAAAAAAUAAGGCAUAAUCUCACAAAGAACAUUUUUUUGGUAGUGGUGUUGGAGAUCAAACUUAGGGCUUCAUACAUGAUAGACAUAUGCUCUAAAACCAGGCUACAUCUCUUCAUAAGAAUCUUUUUUUUUCUUUUGUACUAGGGAUUGAAUCCAGGGCCUUCACACUUAGCUAUAUCCCCAACCCCUCUUUGUUUUGGUACCUGGAAUCGAACUCGGGACCUUGCGCUUUUAAGAUCUGCAAGCAUGUCUUUCCUAGUGCCAGUACACCUGGUGUUAGCACGUGGAGGAUGAAGUCAGAUGAGCUGGGUGACGUCCAUGCCUUGUCGGUGGCUGGCUGUGUGGCGUUGGGUCAGUCAUUUGCCCAAGUUUGUGCAUGUAUGCAAUGUGGAUGGGAGUGACACCUACCCACUAUAAGGCUGGCAGGUUGGUGGCUUACUAUGACAGGAGCGUGCAGCACUUGGCAGCUUUUGUCAUCAGACCUCUGACACAGCCAUCUUAGCCACCAAGAAGAUAGAAGACAGAGUUAAAGCAGAAGUGUUCACCUGGCUGACUUAAGAGGAACACAGUUGUGUUAGUUACUUUUCUCUUGUACCUGAGACAAAAUACCCAACACCCAAAGUUAAAGGGGGAAAGGUUUAUUUGGCUUACAGUUCGUAAAGGUUUCAGUCCAUAAUCAGCUGGCUCCAAGCCAGGGUGGCAGAGGAGAAACAGUUCAUAGCAGCAUAAGACAGCUAAAGCAACAAGAGACCCUAACAGCAUCUUUCUGCCCCUUUUAUCCCAUCCAGACUACCGGGAUUAGGGCGGUGCCAAACCAGUCUCUCACUUACAGUGGUUUAGUAAUCACAUGCCCUUAAUCCCAGCAUCACACAUUCCAGAUUCAGCCACUUCUGAAAAAGAAAGUCCCCCCUCAUCUGCAUGAGGCUUUGGGGGGACUUCUAAACACAAGCCACAACAACAGUUUUUUAUCAUUUACAUUUAUAAGCAAAUCAUUUGGGAAUAAAGAAUGUAAAUUUAGA
rnacentral:lncRNA from 1 species